rnacentral:rRNA from 1 species
UUCCUACGGGAGGCAGCAGUGGGGGAUAUUGCACAAUGGGGGAAACCCUGAUGCAGCGACGCCGCGUGGGCGAAGAAGUAUUUCGGUAUGUAAAGCCCUAUCAGCAGGGAAGAAGAAAUGACGGUACCUGAGUAAGAAGCACCGGCUAAAUACGUGCCAGCAGCCGCGGUAAUACGUAUGGUGCAAGCGUUAUCCGGAUUUACUGGGUGUAAAGGGAGCGUAGACGGCGGUGCAAGCCAGAUGUGAAAGCCCGGGGCUCAACCCCGGGACUGCAUUUGGAACUGUGCUGCUAGAGUGUCGGAGAG